rnacentral:rRNA from 1 species
UACGGAGGGUGCAAGCGUUAUCCGGAUUCACUGGGUUUAAAGGGUGCGUAGGUGGGAAUGUAAGUCAGUGGUGAAAUCUCCGUGCUUAACAUGGAACUGCCAUUGAUACUAUGUUUCUUGAAUCUUCCGGAGGUCAGCGGAAUAUGUCAUGUAGCGGUGAAAUGCUUAGAUAUGACAUAGAACACCAAUUGCGAAGGCAGCUGACUACAGGGGCAUUGGACACUGAGGCACGAAAGCGUGGGGAUCAAACAGG